CGAAACUGCGUGUUUUGAAAACAAUCAUAGAAAACCGGCAAAAUAAGCACAACUUUGAUCAGAAGUAUUUCACAAUAUAUCGCGAAAUAGAGUUUUAGAAAUUACGGUUUUAAGGCGAACAAUUAAUGUAAAUGGGAUAGAAUUUAUGUGAAAAUCCAUAAAGAUGUCGAGUGAUGAAAUCCAGUAUGAUUUUAUAUUUAAUACAGAGCGGUUGCAAAGGUUUUUAGCGAAGAUGGUGGCGUUUUAGGAUUCAUGAAACUUUGCUUUCGGAAAAAUACUGUUCGUCGGUGGAUCGAACCUUUUAAAUGAAAGAACUGUUGAGAAUUGAGAUAUCAGAAAGUUCGGGAACGGUUUAAUCACGUAUUUUUGGAUUGAUCGGUUGUUUGGCCAAAGAUUAUCCAGAUUGUAUUGAAAAUGUGGCUGAGGACGAAUACUUACUCGAUCUCCUUUACGACCAUCUAUGCCUCGUUCUCCUGGUGGCCCUUGAUGACCCGGCGGUCCUGGUGGCCCAAUGAGCUAAUUGCGUAAAAAAUGUCGGAGCAAAGAAAAAACGGAAAAGAGAAACGAAACGUGGUCAGUGAAUGAGAAAAGAUAAUGAUAAUGUUGAUGUAUGGCAACAUUCAUUGCAUAGAUGAAGACAAAUGAAUGCAUCAUUGAUGAAAAACUUACAUAUUCUAUGUGAGAACUGUGUAAACUGGGAUUUGUGUGUGGUGCAUCAGCCAUUCCUUCCUCUUGCCGUCUGCGCAUUUUUCGAUACUUCUGACAUAAAACAAAUUGAAGUGAAAACGAAUAAAAAUCAUGGUGAAUUACGAUUCUGCAUUCAAUCAAUUUAAUACACAAACACACGCGCACACAAAAUUUUCUGCAUUUUACUUACGGAAUCGCCUCGGUCUCCCUUAUCACCUUUUGGACCUGGAUAUCCUGGUGGUCCUGUAACAAAACGAAACACGGAGAGAGCGAAAAAAAAACGCAACAAAAGUCAUUAAUAUCACCAACGAACCAAAUUAAAUUAA